UUCAUUGGUCGUCGUUGGUUCAGAGGAGGAGCAUCAUCGCGAGGCACGAGGGCGCGGGUCGCAUGGGGCAUCCCUGACCGGUGUCUGGCCAAUCACGUGUGGAGUGCAAGUUACGAUGCACGCCGGCGAUCGCCGGGAGCGGCCGCACGUGAAGGAUCGGAUCGGAAGUGGUGCUCGUGAUCGAAUGAACGCCGGCAGGCAGCACAUGUUUUACUGCUGCUGUGCUCGACAUGCACAGGCAGAGGCUGCUGCAGGUUCUAUCGUUUCGGAACAGGGGACGCAGGCGAUGAGGGGGUUCAGACUUCAGAAGCAAAGGCCACUUGCAAGUUGCAACUUGCUCAAAAUCUUCAAGACAAAACACCAGACCAUUUUUUCUUUUUACAAAACUUGCUCCCCAUAAAAAGAAAAAUAAUCUUUGAAAUUGUCGCUGUUGGUGACGGUGGUUGGAAGUGGCAUGUUUUGGAAUGUUGGAAGAUGCCGAAACGAGGAGCGAGCCAGCUGCCAAGAACAACGUCUGCACAGUACAGUGUCCCUACUAAACGGAAUGGAACCACAACCCUCUUGGAGCAAAGGGAAAAUAGCCUAGUUGCUGCACUUCACUUCACCACGGCCGUUGCUUUGCUUCCAUAGCUGUACCGACCUUCCACGAUCGCGUCAGCUUUUCCAUCUUCUUUUUUUUCCUCAGAUCUGACACUUUUUUGCUUUUCCAUCGAUCAGCCUUUUUUUUGGUUUAUCCAAGAUGUUCUUGUGGACAGGAUAAGAAGAGAUAUAGGCUUUGAAAAGGCUGUUAGAUUUGGCUAGGCUGGCUGGUCUGCACAUGGCUGCGCCUCUCGCCAUUGGCUGGCAGUGGCCAACAAGGAAUUCCAUCAAAUAGACAUGCAUGUACAGAAACGGCGCCAUCAACCGUCAGCACGUACCCACAGUCCCACACUUGCUUAAGCCAAUGAGAGGAAACCUUUGCUACAGUACUAACUAAGUACUACCUGCCCUAACCGUACCGUAUUUUUCGUCAAGGAAACAAAAGCUGCAGAAAAAGAAAAAGAAAGAGGUCGAAACAAAGCAGAAGCCACUUGCAAAAAGAUCACCGGCACCGGCUGCCGGGCUUCCCUUUCGUGCUCCUCCUGCAUCACCAGACUGCUCUGCUCUGCUCUCUAUUGCUACUAUGGGAUAUGGCAUCAAUCAUCGCACAUGGACGUUAGUAUGGUGUAGGGCCAGUUUGGUAGGGCUCCGGCUCCGCUUCGGCUCUGGCUCCUCUAGUGGAGUGACUUCUCCGGCUCUAGCUCCUCCUUUUGAACAAAAGGUUUGGCAAAACGGCUCUUCCUGUGGGUCCUCCCUAAGAAAGAGGAGGAGGAGCCACUAUUUUUAGCUCCUCCUCGGCAGUAAAAAAGGGCUCCGACUCUAUGGGUGCUCCACCGCGGAGCCGUUUGUGACGCUGCCCUUUGGUAGGGCUCCAGCAGAAGUCGUGAUUGGAACCGGAGUUGGAGCCCCACCAAACGAGCCCGUAGUGUAGUGUAGGCUCCACGCCACCAGGGAGAAGCAGGAGGAGAUGCUCUGCUUCCGCUCUGCUGCUCCGGUAGACUGGUGGUACCAAAGCAAGCACUCAAGCUCUGCGGCCAGUGUCCACCAGAACCAGCGGAUCCAGGAUACUACUGCACUGCUGCUGGGGGCCACCCGUGCACAGUACACGCGCCCGUACGGCUCGCGCCUCUCAUUGGCCGCCGCCCUGACAUGGUGGGCCCACGCGCGCGCACUGCGGCACUCUCCUGAUGAUCGCAUCAACGUAUUUCUACGAUCCGACGGCCCGCUGGCACCACUACCAGGCGGCGAAGGAUGAUGCGACUGGUCUGACUGCACAGGAACGAACGAGCCCAAUGCAUGGCGCCAGCCGCCAAAGCAUCCGCGCACCCCCCCCCCCCCCACAAAAUGCAAGCACUAGCCAAGAAGGGUGAAAAAUGAUCUGGAAUUUGACCAUGGCAAUAACAUUGAUGGAUUUUGACUUCCAGCAACUGCUAAAAUUAAAGGCUGCUCGAGAUAAAAUAUUUACAGACAUGACAUAGAGUCAUAGACACUGAAGAACACAAAUACAUGCAUGACAGAUCGUGCCCGCUGAUGAUUCGUAAACAAACAAAUUCUUGUCUAACGAUGACCAGCAAUUAAAUUCAGAUAGAUUUCAUUACUGUAAACGGAUAUGGGUUCAUUACUUCAUUAUCAUUUCCGGUGACUCAUAUAAUCCCUCCAGUACUUCACACUGUUCAGUUUCUUUAUCAGACAACAUAAAUUGUGCAUCCACAACAAUUUCCUCCUCUACUUUGUCAGGUCACCUAUAGUUCACUUAUCGACUAGUCCNNNNNNNNNNNNNNNNNNNNNNNNNNNNNNNNNNNNNNNNNNNNNNNNNNNNNNNNNNNNNNNNNNNNNNNNNNNNNNNNNNNNNNNNNNNNNNNNNNNNCAUGCGCGCGCGAGACAGAAAAAGCCAAAGCAAAGCCACCACGCACGCGCGCGCGCGACGGCGGCUCGACGGCCGGCGGCGCCAAUGCCGGCGAGACCCGCGCCAAUGCCGCCUUCGGCCGCCGCGCGCACGGUGAAGGCGUGAAGCGAACGACCCACGCCCACGCCAACGCCAACGCGUAUAUACGUUACGUACCCGCCCGAUGAGCUCCCAGAGCGAGGCGUUGAGCGCGGCGGCGGUGCCGAUGACCUGCGGGAACGCGGUGGCGCCCGGGAACGCGCCGCCGAACUUGACGCCCGGGCCCGUGUCCGACACGCCGUGCAGCGCCUCCGACCACCACUCGUACCCGGCCACGCCCAGCCGGGGCACCCCGGCGGCGUUGUUCACCAGCAGCCGCACCUUCUCAGCGCGGGUCAGCCGCGACACGAAGUCGCGGGCGCGGGCGCGGAGGGGCAGCGACCGACGGCAGAACGGCAGCGACGAAGCGGGGCCGCCCGGGGCGCACGCGAACGCCGACCGUGCGCGAGCCAUCGGCGCCGGCGCCGACGCGAGCAUGAGUGCGGCAAAGAGGAGGAGGCGCCGCAUGGCUGGCGGCGGCGGGUGGGAGGGCGGAGGGAAGCGGCAAUGUGCUUGUGGGAAUGGAGCGGCGGGGGAGUGUGCGGUUAUAUGGAGCGAGCAGGCAGCGCCGCAAGUUGCAACCACCGCAGGGGAAGAAGAUGGUGGUUGGUUGUGCAAAGGAAAGAAUAUCUCCUCUCUCUCUUUUCUUUUUGUUCCUUCUCAUUUUUUUUGGAAAAAAUGAACCUUUUUUUUAAGACAUUUCACAUAAUACUGUGAACUUAAUUACGUUCGUGACAGUUUUGUGCAGUCUGAAAGAUAUGUUAAGAUAUUGCAGAGUUGCAGCGUUCAUGGUGGUACAGUGAGUGACAGGUUGUUGGGUGCUGCUGGAUUUUGGUAAAAAAUCUUGAGGAAUUCAAUUGCUGCGAAAGGCAGGUAAAUGUGUGCCAAGGACAGAACAGAGCACAGCAUGAUUUGAAACCACCUUGGUACUGGUUUCAGCAUUUGCAGAGGCAAUAAGUAAUUAUUAUUUUGGAUUUAAAAAUAAACAUUUAAGAGUACCAUGAAGGUUAAGAUCACAUUAGUUGCACCAUUGCAGGGUACCAUCUUUUGUUGCAAGAAAAAGAGGAUCUUUAUUGCCUACUACUACUAUGAAAACAGAGGAGCUCUCUUUCCCACAUGGAGAGCAUCUUGUUGUCACCUUUCCCGGCCCCUUUCAUCCAGAAGCACUCUUUCAAGUUUCAACCAUUCCCUGAUGUUUACUAACUACAAAGUGCUUUUACAUACACUUUACGCAAAAUUCAUCCCAACAAAGAACCGAAGCUAUCUGAAAUCCAUUCGUUCCAAACAAAUUCGUGGUGCUUAUGAUGCGCAUAGUGACCAAGCAAAUGGUUCCGAUCACAGAUCACUUUUUUUUUUAGUUUUUUGGGUUGAUGUGCCGUGAAAAGAGACUGUCAUCGUCUUCAGCAACAGCCUCAUCAGCACACAUUUGUGAAAGACAAAGAGGAAGAAAAAGAAAUGAAUUGAAGGAUCACAUGCAAGAAAGACCAACAAAAGGAUAUCUCUCUAUCCAAAAACAUGUCAUCGGAAGCCAGACGUACAUAGCACGCAUGCAACCACUCCUGCCCACAGCCACAAACGCCGCCAUCCUCUCAGCGAAAAAUGUUGGUGUGCACGUACUUGUACGGGUUAAGAAGGCAUUCCAAAACACACACGGAUUUCAAAUGUUGGUACGUACUUGUGCAUAAAAUUCAUGUAAAACUGCUCAUUUUCUCUGCAAAUGUAUACGAGGAAGUUUCCGCCCACUUUUUACGUUUUGGAGAUUUUCGUGUCAUGUAAGACGACUGGUGUGCGUCUCACCGUUGAUCCUUGCGUGUGGUUCGGUGAUUACCGUUCUUAAAUGGUCAGAUUUAGCGGCCGGGCAGCCAACCUGCUACGGCGUACGGGGGUUUCUCCAGCGGUUGUUCGUCCAAUGCCCCUACAAAGCUACCACCAAAUGGUGCCGUGCAUCGAAUUGUCUUUGAUGUCACCUAACGCCUUUACAGCAACGGUUCAUUGAACAAUCGCAGCACACAGCUUCUGAUAUCUGAACCUAAUCGCAACCUGAUUAAGUUCUUAACAGUGCUCAAGAAAAAAGAGUGGAUUGUGUGAUUAAGAAAGAUUAUCCAGCCGUCAGAUGGUUUUUGUCUUUACUACCCUGAUGAAGAAGAUUGCUGCAGCCUGCAGGAGAGGUGAAAAGCACUCUUGCUUGCUUAGACAAUUCAGAGUAGCAGCUAGGUUGAGCAAUUAGUAGCUUUCACAGAAAGAAUCACUUGCCGAUUAGACCAACCCCUGAUGACUGAUGAGGAUAAAGGUAGCGUUGGACGGACAGAAAGCGAGAGAAGAGAGUGUUCGUUGUCAACAUCGGAGCAGAUGGGCCGUCGAUCGGCGGCCGCUGCUGAGGCUAAAAUGGCAAAAGGAAUCGGGCAGGUGAAAACGACUUCAGAUGGCAACGAAAACGAGUGCCAGUCAGGGUUAAGUAAUUAAGUAACCCGUCGUGUUUGCCGAUCGAGGUUAACGUGACUUGCAAGGCUCUGUUUGUGUUGUGUGCCGACCAUCCAUUGUCCCUUUCUUACAAGCCUUCUUUACCCUCGGAGCCUGGUAAAAUGCAUCAAAUUACACCGUGCAAAUUAGCGGAGGCUUUUUUUUUUUAGAAAAAAAAAAUCCCUGCUGUUGUGAGAAUCGUGUGGCAUGCUGCUCUCACCCAAACAGUCCCUGCUGGGAUGGCAACAUGUCAAUUUGCCCUUCCUUCCUUUCUCAGUUCCAUCAUGUGCUCACCACCACUUGAGAGACUGAAUUCCUUGGUGCCUUUCAACGCACGGGCUCCUCUUUCAGCUGGCACUCCCUCUAUGAAAAAAGAAAAGAGAAUGGAGAUGACCGCAGAUGAUACAUGAUAGAUGCUGAACCCUUUUCAGCUCAAGGGACCCCCCCUGGUGCGCUAGCUAGUUGCUACACACAGUAGCGGUAUCAGCUGCUAGUGCUAGACUCUCCAGCAAGGCUCUUACUCAGAUCUCUACUUUUUUAGUAGGGAUCGAGUGGAAAAAAACGCACUCCAGCAAGAUUCCUACUCGGAUCCGUACUCUAGGGUGCCCCCUACUUUCCCUCCUCCAGCCUCUUCUCCCACGGGUGGAUAGAGAAGCCCCUACUCGGUAGUAGCUUCCGUUUCCUCUCUCUCGCGCGGACGGAAGCCGAGAGUCACCCGCGUCACUGCCUCCGUCGUUCGCUGCGCCGACGACCACAAGGCUAUGCUUGUCCGCCACCUCGGUGCUGCAGAGCUUCUCGUUCACGGCAGCCAUGCUCCCGGGCCAAAUCAAGCGGUCAGCGGCACAAAUCGAAGGGAGGGAGAAGUCAGAAGGGUGUGGUCGUUACCUCGCUGUCGAAUCGAGGUCGACCACCAUCGAAUCGAGCACCCAUGCUCGGUGCGCUGCUUGCCUAGCUCUGUGUGCCGCUUCUCACUUGGCCCUGCGCGUCGCUCGGCAUCUGCCCUACGCGCCUGGUCCUAUGCGCUCCUCGCCGGCCAGCCUCUGAGCGCCGCCUGUCGCCUAGCCCCAGGUGCCGCUCCUCGUUCGGCAGGGCACCGCUCGCCAUCUUCCCUGUGCGUGUGGCCCCACGCGCCGCUCGCCGGCCGGGCUCUGAGUGCCGCUGAAAGAACAUCUAGGCUCCUAGUGGGUUUUGUUGGGUUGAAUGACAACUAGAUUAAAGGUUUAAUGAACUUAUUAUGCAUAUGAGCAUUUGUAAAGUUAUUAAUAAAUAAUCUUUGUGGGAAAUAUUGUAUUAAAAGGCUCGUAUGGUGAAAAGAACAAGUGUGAUAUAUGGCAUUGUUCAUCUAAGCAUGAAAAGCAAGCAAUGGUGUUAAAGAUGAGUUGAGGCUUGGUUGAUAGCCUCAUAUUGCAAGAUCGUUUAAGUUAAAGAUGAAUGUCAUGGUAACGAAUAUUGUAUAAUCCCAUGAAGCUUAUGUGUGAUGCAUGACAAGCAAAUAAAGGUGAAGAUAGAGAUAUAGUGAUAUUAGGAUAUUCUUUGAUCUCUAAAUAAAAAGAGAAGCUUACCAACAAAUGGGAUAUUAAAGUUAAAGGGAAUAUGAUCUCAAAUGGGUUUCAUUAUUGAUGUCAAAACAAAGCUAGACUCAAUGCGGCAGCGAUUGGAUGAAGAAAUCAAGCAAAGGAUUAGCAACAAGGUACUAAGCAAGGUUUGGUCAAGUGGUGACUUAAGCCAUGAGUCUUGCUAGGGUGAAGUGGCUAGUGCUUGCAAGAUCUUGAGGUAUCAAGUCAAGUCUUACCGAGUAUAACAAUGGGAUACAUCAAUUAUGUAUCGAGUCAUAUGAAGGGGUGACUUGGGAUCUAAAAUUGGCUUUCAUUCAUAUACGUUGAAUAUUGAUCCAAGUCACUAGCUCAAGGUUGAAGUGCUCAAACCAAAGAAUAAAGUUGGAUGCAAUUCUCAUGAGGAUAUAUUGAUCAAGUAUAGCAUGGUUCAUGUUGAUGAAGCUCAAGUGGAUGAAUAUUGUAUUUAUGUUUGAUCUUAAGUAUUGGUAUGCUGUACUAUAAAGAGGGAUGCAUCACAUGGUUAUUUGAUAAAGUCUCAGUGCUCAAGUAUCCUAUGUGAGGGAUGAGAGACACAGAAGCCACACGUACACACUCUAACUGAUUUGGCAGUGGCAAAAUCGGAAAGUCCGGUUUUGGGAACCGGAGGUUCCGGUUUUGGGUGCCACAUGUCUCUAACGGCCAGUUGGUUGGGAAACCUGUAGUUCCGGGUCUUGGGAAACUUGUAGUUCCGGUUUUGGUCUGACACCCUAACGGCUAGUUUUUGUGGAGUGGGGUAUUUAUACCCCACGCCCUCCUCAGUGGCUGGCUGCUAUUUUUGAGGUUGCUAGUGUGCUUCCUACCUGUUCUAAGCUGAACUAAAGCCAAGAUAGCUCUCCCCAACCUCUCUUAGUGAGGUUGUGUGAUCUUUGCUAGAUCUAGUGAAUUGGAUAGUAGAGAGGAGCCAUUCGUGAGCAUUAGUAGAGCACUUAUACGCUUGAGCUAUGAUUUGCCUUGUCAAGUUUCAAGUGAAGCAUCUGUUACUCUUGGAGGUGAAGCCUCAUAGACGGCUAGGCGUUGCUGGCUAGCUCCUAAAGGUGUGGUAAGCAGUGGCAAGUCUGUGAAGGCUGCAAUCUUGCGUCCACAAGGAAAAAUGUCAUCUAGUGGAGACGAUGAAAGUGGUUGAAAGAGACCUGGCACAUUGGAAGGGACUUGAGAUAGACUCGUAUUCCAAUGAGCUCCUCAAUGGAGAUGUAGGAUUCACAGUGGUGAAUCUGAACUUCGGUGAAACAAAUCAUUGUGUCUCCAUGUUGAUUUGCUUACCUUUGCAUUCAUUGUUGAAUCCAUGAAUUUGGUUGAUCUACUCGGGUGUUUGUGUUUGUGAAGUGCAGGAACUUUGUGAGCUAGCUAAGAAACACCUACUGAGCCUCUACACCAAGCUUGGUUUGAUCUCGAGCUCGGUCAUCACUCUAAGUGUGGGGGUCCUCUCUGGCCGAGCCAAAACCGAAAGUUCUAGAAACCGGAAGGUUUCUAGUAGAGAGACUUUUACUCCGCUGCAUUAAGUAACCUUCGGAGAAUCCGUAGGCUUCUUAGGAAAUUCCGCAAGUUACGGAAUUUCUGGAACAUUCUCCGGAAUCUUCAUAUAUCACUGAUAAACUUGUUUUAAGUUGUGAUAAUUUUAGGUUACACCUAUUCGCCGCUCCUAUAGGCGACAUCAAAAUCCUUUCAGCUUCUCGUUGUCGGGCCCCGAGCCCCAUCGCCGUCAUCGGGGCAUAUGGGAGAGAGAGCUGAGGAAGAGAGAAAGGUGAGAAAGGGAUUUGGAAAAAAAAAGAGAGGAGACCGAUAGGUGGGUCUCACAUGUCAUAUCAACGGUAGGGGCUGUCGCUGGAGUUGAGGUUGAAAAGCAUAGCCUUAGAAAAUUGGAAGAGCCCCUAAUCAGAAAAGUAGAGGCCUCAGGACUAUUGUUGGAGUUGCUCUUAGUACAGGUUAGAUCCAAGAGCAGCUGCUUGGUAUGUAUUUAUGGAGUGACGGUAGUUGCAUUGUCAAUGCAAGAUUAUCUUGUACUGGCUAUGGCACUUGGCUGUUACUGCAUCACAAACAAAUUGAGUAGGGUAGGGUUAAAAAACUAGGUACUCAAAAGGCAGUUGCUAUUGCUAACACACCUAGGGGAAAGGACUACAAACCAUCCUACGUAUGUUGGCAACGCAUUAGACGUGUAGACAAUGCAACAGCCUAGACACCAGCUGGUGGCGAACACCUUGAUCAAGACGCUCUGAUGCGCCCUCCCCCCCUCUGAACUUCAGUGUUGGGCACCACAGCACGGUUGCACUUAAAAACUUGUAUUGUUCUUGGAAACCUACCUAUACAAUGCCGUGCCAGAAUGUUUAAUCGUUGAGUGAGUGAGCGAGUGAGAAGGUUCCAUUUCCACACCUCAACUCCCCAACCCUUCCCUUCAGUGCCAUACAGUGACACAGCCUGUGACCCCCCAAUCACCCAACUGGAUUGCUUCAGUUCGUGGGAUUCAUCAGCUAACUCGCUGUAGCCCUGUACCUGUAGGGGGUUGGCACCGGCGUCUGAACGAGGAGGCGAGGAGGCUGCGCAGAGGCAGGGGCAGGACGUGUACACAGCCCCCUUGCGACGCUGACCGGUGGGCCCGCCGCCGAGCCAGCCAGACGAUGCUAUACGUACUCGGCACUCCAUCUCCAUGGCCCCCAUACGUACAGUAACAGUACAGGGCUUGAUGCAGUUGGGUGAUCGAGGUGACGUCGUGACAAGAGCAUCCCAUCAUCGAUGGCUGGCCAUGGACGCUGGACGAGACUCGAGAGAGAGAGAGAGAGUUGAGUGGAAGCUAGGAGACUCGAUACAGUGAUGGGGGUGGGUGAUGACUACUCCAGACUGUAUGUGUCUUGUCCGUGGAGCAAGUUGGGUGAUGGGCUCUCAACUUCUCAUCCUGCAACGCGAAAUCACUCUGCGAGUAUGCGUCGCUGCCUUUCCAGCCAUUCCCAAGAUAUGAUUGGUUCAUGAACAUGCUCUCUUUUUUAUGGCACAAAUAUUUGAAAUUGUCUUUUUAAAUUCUGCAAAAGCACUAGAGCAUCUGAAGGUAAGGGGCAGUCACUUUUUAGCUGCUUGUUCUGAACUUGUGAGGCCUUGUUUAGUUGGCCAAUUUGGGAGAUGCAAAAUUCAUGUUCCAGCACUGUAGCACACUGUAGCGUUUCGUUUGUAUUUGUGAAUUAUUGUCCAAAUAUUGACUAAUUAGACUUAAAAGAUUCGUCUCGCAAAGUACAACAAAACUGUGCAAUUGGUUUUUAAUUUCGUCUACAUUUAGUACUCCAUGCAUGUACCGCAAGUUUGAUGUGAUGGGGAAUCUUCUUUUUGCAUAGUGUUAAAGUUGGGAGUUGGGAGGUAACUAAACAUGGCCUGAGUCGUGAUGGCCCUGCAAGUACCCUGUUUGAAACUCUGCACUCCUGCUGUCCUGCAGGAGGUGUCCGACAGCAACUGCGUGUACCGGAACGUGGUGGACCACGCCGCCGGCGAGUUCACGCAGGCGCUCUUCGAGGAUGUCGCCUCCGACCCCGCGCCGCCCCGCGCCAGGUCCGUCCGCUUCGCCGCCUGCGGCCACGGCGAGGCCUUCUUCUUCUUCCAGGUCGGCAUCACGUCUUGUCUGUAUUCUUCACUUGGUUCGGAGUUCAGAGUCCAGGCCCUGACUUGACGGCCACCGUGCUUGGAUCGUUGGCGCAGGCGACGGUGAGGGGCGAGGAACGCGUGUCGCUCUUCUUCGUCUGCUGCAACCCCAGCUGCGGCCACAGGUGGAGAAACUGAAACGAUGAUGCGAUGGUGCUCCAGCUGGUUGCUGCAGGAGAAUACAGAGGAGACAGAUGUUGAUCUGCUUCGUCCAUGCGUUGUUGUGACUUGCAGUAAGAGAUAGCUCUCGCGUUGUUGUUCCGGAGGCCAAGUGGUCCCAGGACGCGGCGUGCGCCUCGUCGCGGAAGUCGAGGAGCAGCGACAGCACGGGCUCUCCCUCGCGCCUCCCGCCCGUGGCCGGGCGGAGGAGCUCGCGGCUGAGGUGCGGGUGCCCCUCGGCGGAGAGGCGGUGCAUCAGCGCGAGGCACUUUUGAUAGUGAGUAGGCGAGACGGGAGGGAGGUGGAAGAGGUACCGAAGGGACGUCAGGCGGCGCUCACGCCGGAGGAUUGGAUCGCGAUCCAAAUAUUUACAAAAUACCCCCUAAUAAUUGCAGAUAAUCCUCUAAUUUGGAUCGCGAUCAAUAAUCGCGAUCCGAUUAUUUGUAAAAAGGCUGUUGGAACUAAUCACACUCACUCGCCUCUCACACACAACACAAACUAUUCUGGAAGAAGAGCACUAGCACACAGUGUAGCUAUUCGGUGCUGCACACCAGCACCUGCACUUGCACUUAGAUUCACCUCAGCACUAAAACACAGUGAUUACAGGGACUGAAAUAGCACUCACACACGCACAGGCUCAGCCACACGUCGGCCUCUACUCACAACUCCACAACUUGCGCAUGAAUCGGCCAACACUACAUGCAGAUCACUACUAACAACUGGAAACGUCCAACGGCAAGCUCCAGUCCACCAACAAUGCAUGCAUCCAUGCAAACAGACUGACCACUUCUUGCUCGUGCCCCACGACUCGAUGGCUCGACCAAGCACCUAGCCACACGCACACACCUGCAAGGAUACCUGUACUCACAUCAUGGCUGCCACUCCUGACCACUACGCCAUGCAGCAUGCAUGAUGAGCACGUACACAACUAGCACAAACUAAUCCUAGACACCACUAACUCACACAAAUGUAAAAACAACAGGAUUAAUUCUAACAAAGGCCCCUGGUUUGGGUUGUCUCCUCCCCACCGGUCCGGCGCCGCUCGCAGCCUGCGCCGCCGCCGCCGUCCCCGCUCGCCGCUGCCGCCGCCAUACAGAGCCUCAAAUCCCCACACUGCACGCGCCGAUAUCUUCUGAAGACCUAGCACUGGACGCCAGAGGCGCGUGCCAUUCGCCGUCGGACUGAGCUCGCACCGGCGGACCGGCCGGGCAUAACGAACUCCGACGGUAGUGGAGCGGUGGCAGUUCCGAGCCCUAUGCCGCCACACCCGCUAGGCCUCCGCCGCCACCAAGCUCUGUCCGAGACUAGUAGCGCAAAAGCUGCUCGAAGAAAUGCCGCAGCAUGUAACAACCGGCGGAGUACUCCGGCUGACAUGUCGUUGCCAUCGCCGCCGGGCUGCGCCUGAUCCGUUAGGUAAUCAACCAACAUCUCCGUCAGUGGGGGUGCGGUGGCGGCUCUGAGGCUGAAAUGGUGAUGCGAUGCUCCGGCUGGUUGCUGCAAAGAGAACGGUGAAAUGUUUACCUGCCUCGUUGAUGCAUUGUUGUGAGCUGGAACUUGCAGCAAGAAAUUCUUGGCUCUUGCGUUGUUGUUCCGGGGCUGUUGAUGUGAAGGUACUUCACAAUUCAUGAUCAAAGAGAAAUCAGAGUCGAUUGCUUAUCAAAAAAGAAGUUCAGAGUCGAUGACAAUGUGUAGGUGAGCAGAACAAUUUGCUCAGUUGCAAAGCUUGCACGCGCGCCAUGUCUGCAACAGGCAGCUGCACGCGGGCGUGGCCAUGGCAUUGAGGACUCCAUGGCCGGCGAGUUCACGCGGUGCUCUUCGAGGACGUCGCCUCCGACCCCCGCCGCCUUGCAUCAAGUCCGUCCCGCAUGCCGCUUUCACCCACGGCGAGGCUGUCCUCUUCCAGGUGUCACCAUCGCGGCUCGUCAUUCAGAAUUCAGAACUGGAUCGCGGUCCGGGAUUUUUUAAAAAAAUACCCCUAAAUAUUUUCAAUUAACCCCCUAAUUUGGAUCGCGACCAUUGAUCGCGAUCCGAAUAUUUGCAAAAUUACCCCCACAUAUUUUACGUUUAGCCCCUAAUUUGGAUCGCGAUAAUCGUGAUCCGAUUAUUUGCGAAAAGGCCCCGCAUUUUCCGCAUAGGCCCCUGGUUCGGCUCGUCGCCUCCCCAGGCGUCCAACGCCGCCCACCACCGCCCCCGCCUGGGGCGCCAUCCGGAGCCUCAAGUCCCCAUCCGGCCCCGCCCACCCAGCAUCUUCUGAAGCCAAGCCAGAGGCGCGCGCCAUUUGCCGCGAGACCGAGCUCGCGCUGGCCGGCCGCCGGGCACGACGACCUCCGACGGUGGAGCGGUGUCUUCUUGUGGAGAUCUCGCACCUGCUUGGCCUCAGGCAGGGCUGGUUCCGAUGCUCCGUCCGCCGCCUGGCUGCGCUGCUCGCCGGAAUGCCGCGCCAGUAAGAACCAGCAGAGUGCUCCGCCUGGCAUGUCAACACUCAAGAGCUUUUGAUCCCCGCCGGCGAUGUAAUCAACCAAUAAUGGGCGCUGUUGAUAAUGAUAAAUUCAGGCCCGGUUAUAUAUGAUAAUGCAGCAGUGAAGUGUGGCGUUAGCAAGGUCAGGAGAGGUUCAGCAAAUAGUUUUAACUGAGGGCAUGUUUGGGAAGGGGGUGUUAAAGUUUAACACCCUGUUAACUUUAACACCCUCAAAUGAGGUGUUAAAUUUUAACACAUUGGAGUGUUUGGAUAGUCUACUAAACUUUAACAUCUUAGGUUAGAAAUGACAAUUAUACCCCAAUUCCCCCCUCCUUCCUCCUCUCUCUUCUUCUUUCUUCCCCGAGACAGCAAAAUGGGCACAGCCCCUCCUACCGCCCGCUGCCCACCCGCUUCUCUUCUCCCUCCUCUCGUCAGUCCCUGCCUGGCCUGCAACUGCAAGAGAGGAGGAGGAGGACUGCAACUGACGCAACCUUUUCCCUCUCCUCUCUGGCUCUCUCUCUCUCCCCUCCCCACGCCGCCGCAUUGCCCCACCCUCUCCGCCGCCGCCACCUGCUAAAUCUCCUCUUGCAAUCGCGCAGCCUAUGCCGCCGCGUCCCCGCCCGAGCCCCAAAUCCAUGGCCGCCAAAUGCGCACUCCUGCUCCCACUCCUCCUCCUCCUGUCGCGCGCCGCCGCCGUCGCGGCAGCCGCGCCGUGCCACCCGGACGACCUCCGCGCGCUGCGGGCCUUCGCCGGGAACCUCACGGGCACCGGCGGCACCGGCCUCCGCGCCGCGUGGUCCCCCUCCUCCUCCUCCCCCAUCGCCGCCGCGUGCUGCGCCUGGGACGGCGUGUCCUGCGACGCCGGCGGCCGCGUCGCGUCCCUGCGCCUCCCCGCGCGCGGCCUCACGAGGCCCCUCACGGCGGCGCCGCUCGCAGGCCUCGCGCGCCUGCGGGACAUCGACCUCAGCCGCAACGCGCUCGAGGUGCCCGUCUCCGCGGUCCUCACCACCGUGCCCCCCGGAAUCCGCGCCGCCAACCUUUGCGCCGCAGCCUUCGCGCCGCGCGCCGCGCCUGGCAAAGUGGCGCCACCCGCCCGCCUCCUCCCCCUCCCCCGCCGGGGACGCCGACGCGGUAGACCCAGCGGUCGCGGCUAGCAGCUUCGAGCGCCUCCUCAACCAGCUCGUGCAGAUCGAGGCCGGUGGCCUCGCCCGCGCCCGCGCGAGGCCGCCGCCCGCGCAGGAGCGGCACGGACCGGCGGUGGCGGGCGGCGGAUGGGGUAAGGGCGGAGCGGGAGGCGGCGGCUGGCGGCGGGGUGGGGGCGAGAACUGGCGGCGGGGUGGGGGGCGAUGCGAGAGGAGAGACGGAGGCGCAGGCGAUGCGGCAGGGGGCGAUGCGGGAGGAGAGAGACGGAGGGUACCCAGGGAAUAGCUGGAUGAGGACCAAAGUUUAACAAGUUUAACACCCCCUUGAGGUGUUAAAGUUUUUGGGGGUGUUAAAGUUUAACACCUAAGUUUUAACACAUCUGUUUGGAUCAAAAAGUGUUAAAAAGUGUUAAAACUAGGGUGUUAAACUUUAACACCCUCAAUCCAAACAGGGCCUGAAUGUCUCUUGAAGACUACUCAUAACUCAUAAGUCAAAAACAAAGUGCAGAGUCCAAUGUUUUUGACUGAAUGCCUCAUCAGAAGUACAGUGUAGUACACUGCAGAGAUUUUUAACUGAGUGCCUAUUGAGAAGUACAGUAGAACAAAACAGAACUUUAACUGAUGCCUCUUCAUAAGUGCAGUAGCUAAAGGAUCUGUUCUUUUCCAUCUCCGGUAUCUUUUUCCAACAAAUAGUACCACACUUGGCCACCCUAUUGGAUUUAGCUGGAGCAUGGUCCCGUUCCCAUCUGUUUCAUAUUUUGCUCAGAUACUUUUUCAGCCAUUCCCAUCAGGGCAUGCAUGGGAAACACCACGCUAAACUUUAGCACCUGUCACAUCGGAUGUUUGAUACUAAUUAGGAGUAUUAAACAUAGUCUAAUUAUAAAACUAAUUGCACAGAUGGAGUAUAAUUCGCGAGACAAAUCUAUUAAGGGUAAUUAAUCCAUCAUUAGCAAAUGGUUACUGUUCCCAUCUGUAUCAUCAUUAGCAAUUAAUUUUAUAAUUAGCUCAUGUUUAAUCAUUUUAAUUAGCAUCCGAAUAUUCGAUGUGACCCUGCUAAAGUUUAACACCUCGUAUCCAAAACAUCCCCUCAGUUGGUACAGAUGAUUAGGAGGGCGGGACGGACGAACAAUCUCUGUCGCUUGAUGACCGUUGCUGUUUGACCUAGGCCAUCCGUAAGCCACACACUGGGCGUUGUUUGUAAAAUCAGGCCCGGUUAUGUCAGGCCAACCUGCCGCAUUCAGUCCAACUAGAUCAUUCCCUUCUACUCCCUCCAUCUCAAAUUUCCCUCCAUCUCAAAUUACCGUUCGUUUUGACUUUUCUAGAUACAUCAUUUUUAAUAUAUAUCUAGAUAUAAGUAUAUACGUAGGUAUGUAGCAAAAGUGAAAUAUCUGGAAAAGUCAAAACGAAUAAUAAUUUGGGACGUAGAGAAUACUCCUGUCGAUCUUGAAAUUUAUGAAAGUCUCUUCUAGUUCUUCAAUUGGAUUCAUCAUCCAGAGACCUCAUAGUCAUAGUGUAGCAGUGAAUGUGUGCGCGUCAGCAAGGUCAGGUAAGUACAUACAAGUACAAAGUUUUGAACUGAACGCCUCAUUAGGAGGUGCUGUUUUUACACUAGAAAGAUGUUUAACUGAAUGCCUAAUGAGGGAGUACAGUAGAACAAUGCAGAGAAUUUUAACUAGAUGCCGCUUGAGAAGUACAGUAGCACAAAGAUCCGUUCCUUUUACACACAAGCUCCGUGCAUCUUUACCAUCAAUAGGUCAAUUGCCAGCUCUAGUUGUGGCUUAAACUUAUUUCUAAAUUUUCUAGGAAAUUUAAUGCUAUUCAUCGUAAUGAUAUCAUAUUUUACCUAAAAUAAGCGUAUCAAAUCCGUUCUUAAAAAAAGAAGUGUACUCGUCAGGAGUGCCUAGCUGUACAACCAGUAACUGAACCAGCUAGCGAGUAGCGACAGGCGUCAAACGGAGACUGCACAAAGCUCGCUUCGGUGGUGGAGUUUCUUUUCUCCGCCGCCUCCGCCGGCCAGUCGAAGCCGCGCAGAAGAGGAAUCAACCCCCGCCCCCGCCUCGGGUCGGCGAUGGCCGCCGGCGACACCGCGACGAUCUUCCUGGAGACGACCCUCGGCACCCGCCUCGUCGUCUCCUUCCCCGCCCGCGCCACCACCGUCGCCGACCUCAAGCGUGCGUGCCCCUCUUCAUUCUCCUCCCCCUUUCUCCCCAAACCCCCAGCUACAAAAAAGUCUGCAUUUUUCUUUCUUUGGUUCUUGAUUGCUGCGAUUCCGUUGGAAAUCGAUCCCCCUUUCCCCCACGGAUUUCCUUCUAAUUUUGUGCGGCGUGGUUGGGAAAAAUCGUGAACUGAAAACCCCAUUUCCCCCAAAUUGAACACGCAGGCCGGGUGAGCGCGGAGCACGCCGCCUGUUUCCCCCGCACCGGGCCAAUCGCCGUCACGUCCUUGCAGGUAUGGAGCCGGAAUGACAAUGCGGCUGCGCAAAGGAUCAAUCUUUGGCCGAAAUUGGGGCGAAUCCCGUUGCAGGGAAUUUCGUUUCCUUUGGUUUCAUCCAUUUGCCACUGUUUUAUUUGCAGGUUAAGCUCGAUGGCUCCUGGUUUCAGCUCACCGAUUCCAUGGCUGUGCGAGCUGCAUUCGAGUGGGUCAAGGGCCCCUGGCGCCUCCUGGCUGAGGUUCAUGAGCUGGGCUCUCAUCCGCUUGCUCGCAAGGAUGCGAAAUGCGGAACCGGUGAUGCUGAACAAAAUGCCGGCCAUCCUGUCAUCGCCGAGAACUCCUUGCAGUAUAUGUUGCCUCCUGCAUUGUCUCAGGGAGGUGGCAGUGGCAGUCUUGCCUCAGGUGAUGGCGUCAGUGACACCCCACAGGUGAACCAGCAGGAUAAACCUCAGGAAGGAGUUGAGCAUGCCUUGGGUCAGCGCAAAGAUGGAAUUAUCAUGCCUGAAGAAAGGUCAGAUGCUGAUUUAGCUGCAGGAGACAGUGACACUCCACUGCCGAACCAGGAGGACAAAGCUCAGGAAUGUGUUGAGGAUGCUUCUGGUCAGCUCGAAGGUGGAAUUACCAUGCCUCAAGAAAGUUCAGAUUUUGGCUUAGCUGCAGGGGACAGUGACACCCCAUUGCCAAACCAGGAGGACAAACCUCAGGAAUGUAUUGAGGAUGCCUCUGGUCAGCUCGACGAUGGAAUUACCAUGCCUCAAGAAAGUGCAGAUUUUGGCUUAGCAGCAGGCAACAGUGACGCUCCACCAACGAACCAGCAGGACAAAUCUCAUGAAGGUGUUGAGCAUGCCUCAGGUCAGAGCGAAGAGAGAACUACCAUGCUUCAAGAAAGUUCAGAUCUUGGUGUAGCAGCAGACAAAGUUCAGAUCUCCGCAGAACCAAGAGGGAAGAAACGUUUUAGGGAGGAAGAUAAAAUCAGCGAAAGCAUCAUUGUAAACUGUGGUGACAAUCUUUCCAAUCUUGCUAGCUCCACUCUUAAUGCUGAAUUGCCUGGACCAAAGGGCUCCACUCUUAAUGCUCGCUCCACUCUGACUGACCAAGCAAAAUUGAACAGUGUCCCCUUGCCAUAUAAUUUGGAAGACAAUUCACAUGGUUUGGGGGAAAAGCCCUCUGGUGGCCAGAAGGAGAUACGAACAUCUGGUGUGCAUAAUGUUGAAAGUAGCAACAAUGAAUCGGAUAUCCCACCUCGUGUUGAGUCCACGGAAAGAGACAAGUCUUCAGACAAAGAAGUGAAAACACAGAGAGGUGACAAGGAGGAACCACGGAUAGCUGUGCGCGCUGGUGAAAGCAGCUGCAAAAGAACAGAUGUUUCACAUUUUGUUGAGUCCAUGAAAGAAGACAUCAAGAGGGCAGCUUCCAAUAGCCAUUAUCUCGACAAAGGGAAAAGUGAUGGGGCCACAUCAACUGUCAGCCAAGAACAUGGGCCUUGCUUCAGAAGAAGCCACCAGCGGGUUGUUGUGCGCAAAGUGCCUAUAAGCAGGGCAAUGAAGAUGUAUUCUUUCAGGUAAAUUGCUCUUUCCUUGAGAUGUAAUGUGCUUAUGGCUGUACACCAAUUGGUUACCACAGUAAAUAGUUAGAAUAUCAUUUUUUGCCCCAUAAAUGAUCUUAAAAGUGAGUAAGGUAUUUUUCAAAUUAUUGUAAAAAGUGCUUGUACUUGAAUGCUGAGCAUGCAACCAGAGUCAAUUGUAGACAUGCACAUAUGAAAUUAUGGUUUAGGCAUCUUUCUCCCAUCUGGAAGUCCCUGAAUGCUUCAAACCGUAUCAUGUGUUGGCUUCAUGUUGAUAUAGCCAUAUAGGUGACCUGACCAUGUUUUGAUAGUCCUAUUCAGACCCAGUGGUUCGAGGCCUAGUUGCAAGUGGAAUAACUAGUUUAAUAAACUUGGCAUGUUAUGAGUGAAUAUAACUGUUUGAACUUUGAAGUAAAAUUGUGAACAAAUUCUGUGUUAAAUUAGAUGUACAAAAAAUUGGAAUGUGGUGACAGGGAUGGUAUGAUGAGGAAUUCAUUGAAUUCACAGCUAAUGUGUUAUGAAAAGUGAUAAGUCAGUUUAGGCAAGUUAUCUAGUCGGUUAGUAUAGUCCUAGUUGGUUGUCUAUUUCCUAGGCCUUGUUUAGUUGCCAAAGUUUGGAGGUGCCAAAUUACUGUUACAGCACUGUAGCACACUGUAGCGUUUCGUUUGUAUUUGUGAAUUAUUGUCCAAACAUUGACUAAUUAGGCUCAAAAGAAUCGUCUCGGAAAGUACAACAAAACUGUGCAAUUAGUUUUUAAUUUCGUUUACAUUUAGUACUCCAUGCAUGUACCGCAAGUUUGAUGUGAUGGGGAAUCUUCUUUUUGCAUAGUGCUAAAGUUGGGAGUUGGGGAUGAACUAAACAAGGGCCUAGUUUCUUAAGUUAGUUAGAUGACACCUUUUAGGUAAAGGUAGCAUAGUCUUUGUCAAGGGAUGAAGCAAGGUUGUCUCUGAAGGACCGGCAUGGUCAGAGCCUCCUGGUGUAGCGACAAGCCCUGUUGAUGAUGAGGGCAACUGGCGCCGUUAUCUUCUUCCAAUCCACCAUUACUGAUCUGUUACCAUAAUAAAUGUGUAUGGAAUAUUGUAAUAAAACCUUUUUUUUGCUGCCAAGUUCGGGUAUGGCUAGUUUAAGCACAGACUGAAUUACCAAAUAAGCCCUUUGAGAAUACUUGGAAACUGAUAGACAAGCAAGCAAAACUGCAUUGUAAAGAACUGUGUUGGGAAGAAAGUUUUACAUGUAUAGUAGCGUUGUCCUUUUGCAACUAAAGCGAACGGGCCUCAAGCUGAGUUGGUUAGGUGGCUCUAGUAGCACUGAUCCUCAUGUCCUGGGUUCGACUCCCUGUGGGAGCGAAUUUUGUCUAAGGCCCGGCCCCGGUCAUUGGUCAUCUCACAUGGGCUACGGUGCCGCUGUGUAAGGGUGGGGCUGGGGUUUGGGGGUUAUCUCGACCUGUGUGAGAAUGUCUUCUCUUCUUAGCAAAAUGCUGGGGGGCUGUCUUACCUCCUGCAGGUCGAGUUUUUUUUUGCAACUAAAAAUACCCUUGUCCCUAAACAUUAGUAGUAAUACUAAAGAAAUUCUGUUUAUGGGGCUAGUAGUUCCACAUAUGCUUACCAUGAAUGGUCCAUCAAAUGCAACAAAAAAGGGGGUAGGAAUGGUCCACCAAAUGCAAUAAAAAAGGGGGUACGGAAGUUGCAAUCAAUGCACGUUUAGAAAAAAAUAGGUGGCAGUCAGGUCUAACUCAUGCAUCACUAGUAAAGGCAAAGAGGUGCAGAUUGGACAAACAACAGUGAUAUAUUAUUGAACAGAACCCAAGUAUUACUUAAAUCAGGUUGCUUCUGUGAAUCCUUCACUGUUUUUAAACUGCUGGUGAUAGCUUUCCCCACUUUUUUUAUAGAAAAUACUGCUUCAUUUAUAAUGUGAACUUCCCCCAAGAGGGAGGUGCUGUUGAGUAAAAAUUCUGUUAUAAAAGCUGAUGCAAUAGCUCAAGCUGUCAUAUCAGAAACAACUUUCAAAGUUCAACAAGAGAAACGACAGAUUGAACAGGGGGUGGUUGUAUGAAUUCUGACCAAGAUCCAAUGGUCACUGAUAAUUCACAAAGGGGUUUUAAAUUUCAGGAAAAGAGUAGAGGAAAAUGGGGGAGCUCUGAAGGUUAUACGAAGACUGGGAGGCUAUUUGCAGAUUUAGAGAUAUUGUGGACUAGGGGUUUAUCAUGUCUGUGGGGCAGUGACUGCAUGGGGUAACCCUUAGUGGUCUCCUGCCACUCUUGGCUUGUUUCCUGACUGUGUGGUGAUAGCUAACGUCCGUAAGAAGCGUACUAAAGGCUGGAACGGGAUAACACAGGGAAUUGUACAGUGACCAAUUCAUUGAAGUCUUAGCUAAUGUGUGCGGAAUAGUUUUUUUGGCCAAAUUUUGCUUUGGCUACUUUGGGCUCAAACCGGAGUACCUUGACAACACAAGAAACUGUUGGACAAGCAAACAAAACUGCAUUGCAAAUAAAUGUAGAUACUUAUGUGUCAGGGAGGUUUACAUGUAUAGUAGCAUUAUGCUUUUGCAACUAAAAUGAAAAUCAAAAGGUCUUUGUGAGGCUUGGUUUCUUUGGCUUAAAUGCUUGAGGUGUUUGUCAAUUUUGUGAAGUCAUACAUAUGGCCAUACAUCACUUGAAGUAGGUCGUGUAUAAAAUUUGGAAAUGCAGAAUUGAUGUGAUUGGGAGAAUGCCCUCUUGCAGACUUGCACUGCAUUUAUGUUUCAGCCGUUCAGGGUCAUCUAACACCAUACUACACACACUCCUCAUAAGGCUGUCAUGUAAACCUAUGUUGCUUUGUUUCUCUGAAAUAAAGCAGGAGAACCUUGAUUCUAACAAUGUUUCAGCCGUUCUUUUGGGGUUCAGGAUAUGAAGGAAUGGGAUCAGCUUCCUGACGCUACUUAUGUGCUGUACCUUUUGUUUUGCGUCCAAGUUUUGGGAAUAUUUAAUUACUUUUCUUGUUUCUGCAGGUGUUAAUAUUAUCGCACCUGGACGAUUUGCACAAGAACCUGUUGCUGAGAAAGCUGAGGACAGUAGAGAGAAAAUGGCAAAUGCUUUUGAGUACAACCAUGCAUCUAAACCAAUGCAUUCAUGAGCUUUUCAUCAAGUAAUUUUAACAGUUGGAACCUGAGUUGUAUCCAAGUUGUAUUCAAAUGGUUGUGCGUGUAGCAUGCUCACCAAGAAACUCAAUAGCAUCUAAUCCUCUAAACUCAUGAUCCAGUGGUGUUUUUACUUAGGUUACCUAAGGUAUAAUUUUAAUUUCUGAUGAACUUCUUACUAUGGUCAUGCAAGACCAUUGUGGAUAUAUGAUGCUCAAUUGCUUAUCAUGGCUGACUUAUGGAGCUUGAUGCAAUUUAAACAAUCUAUAUUUAGCUGGAAUGUACUCAUCGGAUUAUUCUGUACUCAAAUUAUGCGCAAGCUUAUUUUGUUCAUGGACUUUCAAUUCCUUCUAGGAUUUUUUUUUGGCAAUUGAUUUGUGCAGAUAGAUAUUUGGUAAACUUCUGUAUUACACACAGCAUACACUGUGAGUUCUUGCAAAGAAACUUACAGCGCUGCUGACGCAAGUGCUUAUGCUGUAGAAACUGAAGAAAGCUACUCAGGUUUGCCGGCAUCGGAUAUUCUUCAGUCUUCACCAUUGAUUAUUUUCGUGCUCUGUGCUGCGUGUAGCCACUUUUUCCGUGCCCAGGUACCAGUAGAUGGAAAUUACCCAGACCCACAUGUGAGCCACUAUUUGGUUUUCGGUACUUUUUUGUAGGUAAGGUUCAAGUAAAUUUUACAUCCUUGGUUCACAAAUGAAUUUCACACAGUAUUUUCAGCGGAUUUCCUUAAAUCCUUUGAUCAGAACCCUUGUAAGGCACAAUUCAUUCAUGGAACAAGUCAUCCUGACAAUGCUGGUAGAAGCUAAGUGAGGCUUGUCAGUAUCUGCCAAAUAGAUGAAAACAAAGGGAUAACACAACACGUUAUAUGUUCAAAUAGGAUUUGAUGCAGAAGAAACCAUGUGCUUGACGACACACCAGUUUACAUAAAUGGACAUCAUGAUCUUGACAAACUUUUCUUUUUCGAAAUGUAAUUCGGUUUCAUCCUUAUCAAUGCUGCUAGAGCUCAUAUUUUGACAAAACCUGAGGUAUUGGAGCGGCCUCCAUUCACCACAAAACCUGAGGUAUUGGAGCUGCCUCCAUUCACCCCAGCUUGCGCCCUAAAUUAGAUUUUCAGGAAUGACAAAGGUCAGAUCUCUCUUUUCAGUAUCCUCCAAACAAUUAGCACUAGUGAUCAGUCUGCACACAGUUUUGUAGAACAGACAGUGCAGCUUUACCAGAGGUCUGCUGGUUGCCUGAUUUUUUGAGUUGCAGUGUAGUACUUGCUUUCUGUUGUUGUGAAUGUGCAACGCAGGCCCUCCAGCAUAGGUCGACACAACCAGCUUGCAUUGUUGACAACCAUGAACAAGGAGCUAGCAGUUCCAAUGACCAAGCACAUGCAUAAUUGAAUCAUAUAAAGGGCAUGCAUUGACGACGCACCUCUAGCUGGACGGAACGUGAUGCCAGGCGGCGCGACUGGCUGCAAUCACCUGCAUGCGGCGGUGCUCUCGACUGACCUUCUUUCUUUGGUUCGCGCGCCAUGUCUGCCAUGAAUCGCCUCCAUGUCGCCUCGGUCUGUGAUGGAGAGGGCGCGGCACCGUGGACUCCCGGAGGAAGGGAAGGUUGGUGACGGGAGGGACGGCCGGCCGGCCGGAGUGCCGUGAGCGAAGGGACGUCGCCGCCGCGUCUGGGACAGCGCUCAUUGGGUGCCGCCCUGACAUGGUGGGCCCAAGCGUACCUACUCUCCUGAUGAUCACAUCAAUCAAGAUAUUUCGCCGUGAAGUGCUUGCAGCAAGCUGCGAGCUCGCCGUGAAGUGGUCGCGGAGGGGGACGCCUGCUGGAGGCCGCGGACACGGUCGGGUCCUCGCCGGGGGUCUCCUGCCCCCGGCCCCACCGCGGGUCACGGAAGAUGUUGACGUUCGGGGACCAGAAGGUGAGCCCCGCCUGCCCGCCGUUGUACAUGGCGCGCGCCUCGUCGGAAACCGCCUGCAGAAAUGGAAUGAUAAAACAUAAAAAGUGUUCUUUUUUUUUCCUUGGUCGUCGCUCGUCGCGACUUCGCGAGGCACGAGGGCGCGGGUCCCAUUGGGUAUCUGCAUCUCUGACCCGUGUCUGGCCAAUCACGUGGCGAGCGCAAGUUACGAUGCACGCCGGCGAUCGCCGGCAGCGGCGCACGUGAAGGAUCGGAAGUGGCGCUCGUGAUCGAACAGGGGACUCGGCAGACAUGUUUACUGCUGCUGCUCGACAUGCACAGGCAGAGGACGCAGGCGAGGCGAUGAUGGUUCAGACAUCAGAAGCAAGGCCACUUGCAAGUUGCAACUUGCUCAAGAUCUUCAAGACGAAACAGCAGAUACAUGCCCGACAAUUCAGGAAAAUGUAGCAGUAGAGUCGACAUUUUAGGCUCCGUUUGGAUUUUAGUUGCU
rnacentral:lncRNA from 1 species